AAAAGAAUUAAAACCAGGGAUUUCAGAAGCCAGAAGCCCGAUCGACCUAAAAUCCUGGUGUUGUCACUGUGGAGCUAGCUCUGUGACCCCAGGAGUUAGUCCUUGACCACUAGUUCGAUACUCUCUUAUUCUGGGUGACCUGUUUCACCAGCAGGCCUGUUACUCUCCAUGACUAACUGUGUGCUUAUAAUGGAAUAAACUGCUUUUCUACAUAAAAAAAAAAAAAAGAGAGAUUGAAAUAAAAAACCCAGUGGAAGAAUUAACAGCAGAUCCUGCAGCUGAAGCAAGAACUGGGAAGUGGAACCCUACUUCAGGAUGACACCUGCACCCCAAUGUUCAUAGCAGCACUAUUUACGAUAGCCAAGACAUGGAGACAGCCUAAAUGUCCAUCAAUGGAUGACUGGAUAAAGAAGAAGUGGUAUAUUUAUACUGUGGAAUACUACUCAGCCAUAAAAACCGACAGCAUAACGCCAUUUGCAGCAACAUGGAUGUUCCUGGAGAAUGUCAUUC